CGCGGGGUGGAGCAGCACGCUAGCGCGUCGGGCUCAUAAACCGACGGUCGCAGGGUCACAUCAUGGCCACGCAACCA
rnacentral:tRNA from 1 species